UGCAAUUGAAGGCAUACUAAUAAACCAUUGAGUAAGUAUAUACGAUAACUCUGAAUCCUGUCCCACAUCCCAAUUCUGACUCUUUCUUCAUUACUGUCUUGAACACACAGAACUGCCAGCUCCCAGAGGUCAGUGCUCCAUGGAGAGCAGAGUGCCUGGCCAGAGAUUAUCUGGGCUCUGUUUGGGAUUUGUUGCUGUAGAAAUAGCAGAGAUAUCAACAAACUCAUGUCCCUGGGGCUGGACAGGCUGAUGGGCCCAUCUGCAGGGCAGGAACAGCCAGAAGAGAAAAUUGAGCAAGAAUCUAAUGAGGAUCUAGAAGAGAACCAGGAAACAGAGGACCUAAAAACAACAUGAAUUUGGAAAGCUGAAGGUCCCUGAUCUAUAUUUGACACAAUACCACGUCUUCUACUGCAAGACUUCAUAAACAGAACAAUACUGAUGAAUAUAAGUAAACAAGCUGUCCAUGACUGGUUUUAGGUCAAAGCUUAACCUCAAACUUGCUCAUCUUAAAACAGAAAUGAUGUGGCUUACAGGAGGACAAGGGGAUUCAAUAAUGAAAUACAAGAAGAUGCAGAAUAGCACAGCUACCAGGUGCUAA
rnacentral:lncRNA from 1 species